CAUCUUACUAGACAGUGCUGGA
rnacentral:ncRNA from 9 species